rnacentral:rRNA from 1 species
CCUACGGGAGGCAGCAGUGGGGAAUAUUGCGCAAUGGGCGAAAGCCUGACGCAGCGACGCCGCGUGAGGGAUGAAGGUCUUCGGAUCAUAAACCUCUGUCAGCAGGGAAGAACGGUCACUGUGCUAAUCAGCAGUGAAUUGACGGUACCUGCAAAGGAAGCACCGGCUAACUCCGUGCCAGCAGCCGCGGUAAUACGGAGGGUGCGAGCGUUAAUCGGAAUUACUGGGCGUAAAGCGCUCGUAGGCGGUAUGUCAAGUCAAGGGUGAAAUCCCCGCGCUCAACGUGGGAACUGCCUUUGAAACUGGCAAACUAGAGUGCGUCAGAGGGGGGUGGAAUUCCAAGUGUAGCAGUGAAAUGCGUAGAUAUUUGGAAGAACACCGAUGGCGAAGGUAGCCCCCUGGACCGCGACUGACGUUGAGGCUCGAAAGCGUGGGGAGCGAACAGGAUUAGAUACCCUUGUAGUC